rnacentral:rRNA from 1 species
GUUUUACCCUAGGACGCUCCUUGCGGUUACGUACUUCAGGUACCCCCGGCUUUCAUGGCUUGACGGGCGGUGUGUACAAGGCCCGGGAACGUAUUCACCGCGCCAUGGCUGAUGCGCGAUUACUAGCGAAUCCAGCUUCACGAAGUCGGGUUGCAGACUUCGAUCCGAACUGAGAGAGGCUUUUGGGAUUAGCAUCCUGUCACCAGGUAGCUGCCUUCUGUACCCCCCAUUGUAACACGUGUGUAGCCCCGGACGUAAGGGCCGUGCUGAUUUGACGUCAUCCCCACCUUCCUCACAUCUUACGACGGCAGUCUCUCUAGAGUCCUCAGCAUGACCUGUUAGUAACUAAAGAUAAGGGUUGCGCUCGUUAUGGCACUUAAGCCGACACCUCACGGCACGAGCUGACGACAACCAUGCAGCACCUUCACAUUUGCCUUGCGGCUAACCUGUUUCCAGAUUAUUCAAAUGCAAUUUAAGCCCGGGUAAGGUUCCUCGCGUAUCAUCGAAUUAAACCACAUGUUCCUCCGCUUGUGCGGGCCCCCGUCAAUUCCUUUGAGUUUCACCGUUGCCGGCGUACUCCCCAGGUGGAAUACUUAAUGCUUUCGCUUGGCCGCUUACUGUAUAUCGCAAACAGCGAGUAUUCAUCGUUUACUGUGUGGACUACCAGGGUAUCUAAUCCUGUUUGAUACCCACACUUUCGAGCAUCAGUGUCAGUUGCAGUCCAGUGAGCUGCCUUCGCAAUCGGAGUUCUUCGUGAUAUCUAAGCAUUUCACCGCUACACCACGAAUUCCGCCCACCUCUACUGUACUCAAGACAGCCAGUAUCAACUGCAAUUUUACGGUUGAGCCGCAAACUUUCACAACUGACUUAACUGUCCACCUACGCUCCCUUUAAACCCAAUAAAUCCGGAUAACGCUCGGAUCCUCCGUAUUACCGCGGCUGCUGGCACGGAGUUAGCCGAUCCUUAUUCAUAUGGUACAUACAAAAUUCCACACGUGGAAAACUUUAUUCCCAUAUAAAAGAAGUUUACAACCCAUAGGGCAGUCAUCCUUCACGCUACUUGGCUGGUUCAGGCCUGCGCCCAUUGACCAAUAUUCCUCACUGCUGCCUCCCGUAGGAGUUUGGACCGUGUCUCAGUUCCAAUGUGGGGGACCUUCCUCUCAGAACCCCUAUCCAUCGAAGGUUUGGUGAGCCGUUACCUCACCAACUGCCUAAUGGAACGCAUCCCCAUCGAUAACCGAAAUUCUUUAAUAANAAGACCAUGCGGUCUGAUUAUACCAUCGGGUAUUAAUCUUUCUUUCGAAAGGCUAUCCCCGAGUUAUCGGCAGGUUGGAUACGUGUUACUCACCCGUGCGCCGGUCGCCAUCUCCAGUUUGCAAGCAAACUGAAAUGCUGCCCCUCGACUUGCAUGUGUUAAGCCUGUAGCU